rnacentral:rRNA from 1 species
GACGAACGCUGGCGGCGCGCCUAACACAUGCAAGUCGAACGAGCGAGAGAGAGCUUGCUUUCUCGAGCGAGUGGCGAACGGGUGAGUAACGCGUGAGGAACCUGCCUCAAAGAGGGGGACAACAGUUGGAAACGACUGCUAAUACCGCAUAAGCCCACGACCCGGCAUCGGGUAGAGGGAAAAGGAGCAAUCCGCUUUGAGAUGGCCUCGCGUCCGAUUAGCUAGGUGGUGAGGUAACGGCCCACCAAGGCGACGAUCGGUAGCCGGACUGAGAGGUUGAACGGCCACAUUGGGACUGAGACACGGCCCAGACUCCUACGGGAGGCAGCAGUGGGGAAUAUUGCACAAUGGGGGAAAACCUGAUGCAGCGGCGCCGCGUGGAGGAAGAAGGUCUUCGGAUUGUAAACUCCUGUUGUUGAGGAAGAUAAUGACGGUACUCAACAAGGAAGUGACGGCUAACUACGUG